rnacentral:lncRNA from 1 species
CGUGCCCGCUGCCUUUUCGCGUUGCAGCCGCAAACAAGCGCCGGCAGACGACACCUCCCGGCGCGCGGUGACAACGGAAAAUAAAAAGGCACAUACACACACGCACACACUAAAAGUCGCCGCCGCAGAGGCGCGCAACGGCGCGGCAGAGCGCCACGUCGACCGGGCCGCGCGUAUCCGCGGGCACUCCGGCGCGCGUGCUCUCGAUGAGCAAGAGCGUCGGAUCGAUCCCCAAGUCUGCGGCGACAGCGCGCGCGGCUCUCGACAGCAGCGAGUCGGCUCGCGCGAUCCCGCACGCCUCCGGUCGACCCGCGCGUCGCUUGGUGUCGCCAGGUAACGCGCUCCGUCGGCCAACGCGGUAGACGUGUUCGCCGCCGACGACCCAGCCGCAGGCCGUACACACGACGUCGCCCGUGACGAUGUCGUCCACGGUCUGGCUCGCUCCGCAGCCUUUGCAUUCCGCCAUCGCGAGUGCCAAUCCCCCUCCGCUCCCCCGCGAUUCUCGGUCGUUGCCGCGGUCGUCUCGUGGGCAACGGUCGGCAGCAGCGGCGUUGUCACUCGGUGCUUUUUUUUCCCUCUUUAAGAACCCAAAAGAAAAAAAGGCAAGGCCAAGAGAGGCGAGGCCACACGCAUUCGCGCCGUCGGUGCGGCCUCGCCUUGCGGCGCUGCGCAACCACGACAAACCAAAGACACUGACGGUGUUGUUUUUUUCGCACCCCCCCCCCAUCCCAAUCUCUUUGCGGCCAUCGCAAAAUAUUCAUUUGGGGAAAGAGAGAGAGAGA